UACGUAGGGUGCGAGCGUUGUCCGGAUUUAUUGGGCGUAAAGCGCUCGCAGGUGGUUCGUUGCGUCGUGCGUGAAAGACCCCGGCUCAACUGGGGAGGGUCGUGCGAUACGGGCGAACUGGAGGCCAGUAGGGGGAUGCGGAAUUCCGGGUGUAGUGGUGGAAUGCGUAGAGAUCCGGAGGAACACCAGCGGCGAAGGCGGCAUCCUGGACUGGUCCUGACACUCAUGAGCGAAAGCGUGGGGAGCGAUCCGG
rnacentral:rRNA from 1 species